rnacentral:lncRNA from 1 species
AAAAGAAGUCUAUCACUUUAAAGGCUUCAAGUUCUAAGUCAUCCACCAAUGAUACGUGUGAGAGUGAAUCAAGUGAUGAUGAUAAAGAUUUGAAUGAAGACAUGGGGUUGUUUGUAAGGAGGUGUAAAUGAUACCUUAGAAAGAAUAAAGUUCAACAUUUAGAUGAAAAUAUAGUCAACUAUAGAAGAUAAUAAAAAUUCUCAAAUCAAG